rnacentral:rRNA from 1 species
UUGGAGGGCAAGUCUGGUGCCAGCAGCCGCGGUAAUUCCAGCUCCAAUAGCGUAUAUUAAAGUUGUUGCAGUUAAAAAGCUCGUAGUUGAAUUUCGGGAUUCUACCGUUGGUCGGGCUAACAAGUCUGUACUGGUGUGUAGAAUUUCUACCUUCUGGGGAACUAUCAUGUUAUUAAUUUAGCGUGGUGGGAAACCAGGACCUUUACCUUGAAAAAAUUAGAGUGCUCAAAGCAGGCUUACAGUCUGAAUACAUUAGCAUGGAAUAAUAGAAUAGGACGGUGGUCCUGUUUUGUUGGUUUCUGAAUCACCGUAAUGAUUAAUAGGGAUAGUUGGGGGCAUUAGUAUUCAAUUGUCAGAGGUGAAAUUCUUGGAUUUAUUGAAGACUAACUUCUGCGAAAGCAUUUGCCAAGGAUGUUUUCAUUAAUCAAGAACGAAAGUUAGGGGAUCGAAGACGAUCAGAUACCGUCGUAGUCUUAACCAUAAACUAUGCCGACUAGGGAUCGGACGAUGUUAAAUUUUAUUGACUCGUUCGGCGCCUUACGGGAAAC